rnacentral:rRNA from 1 species
AGCGAACGCUGGCGGCAGGCCUAACACAUGCAAGUCGAACGAAGUCUUCGGACUUAGUGGCGGACGGGUGAGUAACACGUGGGAACGUACCUUUUGGUUCGGAACAACUCAGGGAAACUUGAGAUAAUACCGGAUGAGCCCUUAGGGGGAAAGAUUUAUUGCCGAAAGAGCGGCCCGCGUUAGAUUAGCUAGUUGGUGAGGUAAAGGCUCACCAAGGCAACGAACUAUAUCUGGGCUGAGAGGAUGAUCAGGCACACUGUGACUGAGACACGGCCCAGACUCCUACGGGAGGCAGCAGUGGGGAAUCUUGCGCAAUGGGCGAAAGCCUGACGCAGCCAUGCCGCGUGAAUGAUGAAGGUCUUAGGAUUGUAAAAUUCUUUUACCAGGGACGAUAAUGACGGUACCUGGAGAAAAAGCCCCGGCUAACUUUGUGCCAGCCGCUGCCGUAAUAC